UUGAAACACCGCUCCCUGUACGAUCACCAAAGUUAAGCAUCCUCGAAUCUGGUUAGUAACUAGAUGGGUGACCAUUUGGGAAUACCAGGUGCUGUAA